UACGAAAGGGGCUAGCGUUUUUCGGAAUUACUGGGCGUAAAGCGCACGUAGGCGGCCUUGUAAGUUGGGGGUGAAAUCCCGGGGCUCAACUCCGGAACUGCCUUCAAGACUGCAAAGCUAGAGGAUGCGAGAGGUUAGCGGAAUUCCGAGUGUAGAGGUGAAAUUCGUAGAUAUUCGGAAGAACACCAGUGGCGAAGGCGGCUAACUGGCGCAUUUCUGACGCUGAGGUGCGAAAGCGUGGGGAGCAAACAGG
rnacentral:rRNA from 1 species